rnacentral:lncRNA from 1 species
ACAGGAGAGGAACAUGAAGUUUCUCUCUGAGGAGGGUUUGAAGUGGAUGAGAGUUACACACCACAAACUCCUCUGUGGACACCUUGCUGAAACACCAUAGCAAUGCUGCCCUCCCUGCCUGGAUCAGCAUGGAAAUGAAUUUAGUCCUCACCGACUGAUAAGAGUAGGGUACUGAAUCAUCUUCAGAAGAAAGUGGCCAUGAAGGGCUGCUGACUGGCUGCGGAAUCUUCUCCAUUUUUGCAUACCUUUCUGCAACUGCUUUAGCCCUGUCCUCCUUCAGCUGCGUGGCUUUCAAAAGGUUUCCUGAAGAAAACUCUGAUGAGGAGAUGAGGAGUUACAGAAAGUCACCAGGAAGGCUGUCACAUCGGGGAAACGCCUGGGUCUACAACCUGUUGAUGUGAGCCCUGCUGGGCCAGACAAGGACAGCAGCUCCUUGUGGUGACUGCCCACUCUCUAUGUCCUCAGGUGUCCUGACACACCUAUACAGGAGCUGGCCAGGCUGAAAACACUCCAACAAGCAUUCAUCCUGUCAAGAGACACAGAUCAACAGAAGCACAAACAUUUCCUGGGUGAUUCCGGGAAAUUCAUGGACUCAUCAGUGCUUUGUUUCUCCACCUGUAAGACAUAAAUAUUAAUAAUUCUUUCUUCUUUUCUACUUUUUUUUUUGCCUUUCCAAAGAUUUCAGUCUCACUUUUACAUGUAAAUACAAAUAAAUAUUUAUACAGAAAUAUAAAGUCCUCUUAG